rnacentral:lncRNA from 1 species
GCCGGCCACAGGCUCACCUCCCUUCCCGCCGCGCCCGGGGAGAGGAAGCGAGGUGGCCUUUACCCCUGCGCAGGCCGGCCAGGAAUGCGGGGCCGCGCUUCCCACUCUACCCGCCCGAGGGCUGAGGACGGCGGAGGCGAGAAGCGACGCGCAGAGUCCGGGCGCCGAGUGGUGGAGACGCGUCCCAGGCCGUUCGGAUCGGGGCUGCACACGGGCUGGGGCGAGGCCCGGGCCGCUGGUUCCCGCCCCCUCCCGGAGCCAUUCGUCCCCCGCAGACAACACGACGGGAGGGACCCACGCGCGGCCGCCGGUGCCCCUAGUCAGCCAAAAGCGAGCCCCACUGGCGG